AACAAUAUUUCUGGUUCAUAAACAGAAGCACACACUUUCCAACACCACAGUGUUGAUGAAUAUGUGGUUACUGAAUUCUAACCAGCUAAAGGAAAAAUGCACGAGAUCUCAAGUAUUUAACUCAAUUCUUCAGGACCAGGUUUAAAGUUUCACAAAUAUUCGUAAGCCUAAACUCUAUUGUUUGUAUUUCAAGAAUCUUAACCAAAAGGAAACAAUUUUAACUUUAGAAAUAUUUUGGUCAAAUUAAUUCCACCAUAAUUAAGUACACAAACCACUGAUUGUGAAACACUUUAAAAAUUCUUGGAGGGAAUGUGAUAAUCUAAGUUCCUCAUGCCGAUGUGGUUUUAAUAUUUUAUUGUCCUUCACUUUUACUCAAUCUAUAAACACCAGCCUUUCACGUUACCAUGAUGAGAACACAAGGCCGUUUAUUAUUAUUGCAAGAGUAUUUGAGGUAAAGUGUAAUAGAAUUGAAUGUUUUAAAAAUAUUUGAUGAAAUCAAAUGUAUUUUUAAAGAUUAUGAAAGGUCUAGCUAAGUUCAAAGGUCAUACUUUGGUGAUAAAAUACACCGCUUCAAAGUGAAAAUAAUAGGCUUUCAUUUAUGGCGGUAUUAGUCGUUUCAUUCUUUUCAAAUGCAUUUCUAUGUAACUUAGAAAAGUAGGAAACAGAGAGAGUCAGAGAUAUAGGUGAAACUUUCCUCAAAAUAUAACAUAAGAAAUUUGGUCUUUAGUGCAGUUUAUGAAAAAGUUGAGAUUUUUGUCUUUUUUUUUUUUUUUUUUUUUUUUUUACUUCAGGGAAUUUAGCUUUAACUUAAAAGCCCUUUCACUGGUGAAAAUUGAUUUUUUUUCUUAAUCUAGAGGAAACGAAAUAUGUGUAGCCCAGCAGAGGAGGGAGAGGAGGUCAAGGGGUAAACAGUUUGAUGCGGCACAUCUUGAGCUCAAUCCUGGGCAUGUGAUCUCUCACACUUAUGUCCUCCCAACAGGGAGAAUCCAGCAGUGGUUUAGGCUUAAAAUGCUGAGAAAAACUUCAAACAAAUGUCUAAGAGAGUCCCUAGAACAUUUAAACUUUUCUGUCACAGUCUUUGCUGUUCAAUUAUUUUUUUUUUAACAGGAUAGAUGUACACUGGCAACUCAGCUGAAAUUUUCUUUAUGGUAGCUCUUUCAUUAUGGAGUGAGUGGUCUUUAAUUAAGCUCUGAAUCUGAUCAAGUCACACUUUUUUUUUAAGACACAAACUUCAAGUGGAGAAAAUCUCCUUGCAUUUAUUUUAUUCUUGUUCAAGGAUUAAAGUGGGCAUGAUUUUCUGUAAUCCCACACAGCCCUUCAUAGCUAAAAGUUAAUAUUUCCAACUGGUUGCUUUGAGAUUCCAUACAUAUGGCUUAGGAAUGAAGUCAUCCACAAUUUCCAUAUUGAGAAAUAAAUUAUGGACACCAUCUCUAGAAUUCAGUUUCUUUAAAUAAGCUGAAGAUUUGUUCUCUUUUUCUCCACUAUGUUUCUAUGCUAGAACUGUGUUAUAAGUGUGAGGGCACCUCAGAUUAGGCAUAAUUCUAAAAUAAUUCUAAAAUUGAAGUGCCAUUCAUUUGAUUAGAAAUGUUACUUGAUUUUGUUAAACUACUCAUGUUUUUACUUUCAAAAAUGUAUGUUUUGUCACUUAUUUUGUUUUCUAUUUUAAAGUUAACAUUUUUUAGAAAAAAAGAAAGAGUUUUGCUCUCUUUCCCCAAACUACAAACUAACAAAUCAAGAAAUAAACAAUUUUUGAAGUAUCAUUCAUUCUUUGGAUUUUGUAAAAUACUAGCUUGUCAGAAAAAAUUUCCAAUUUUUAGCCAGAUGUUUUGCACUCUUCUGCACAUAGCCACAGGAUAGUUAGAAGCGUGAUCUACUAGCAUUUACUACCAAAUAGAUUGUUGAAACUUCAAGCGGGAAACUUCCAUAAACACUUUAAUCAACAAGCCCCUUGAAGUAAAAUGAAUUAAGGCAUUUAAUUAAAAGAGACUCACUGGGCAAUAUGCAUCCUGAAUUUCUCUAUGUAAAUUAUUAUGUCAACAUAGUUUCCUCUACAGUUUUUCAAUCUUGCUUUUUUUCUUAAGUCUAUGAAUUAACAUAUUUACGGUUAAAACUAUGCCUGAACUUCCUUAUUUUCUCCUUCAAACCAUUAUUUUUCCCAGCAUGUCCUUUGUUUGCUUUUCUCAUCUCCUUUAGCACUUUGAAUAAUGACCUCUUCUUCCUCAUUACAAACAAUAUUUGUCAAUCACAUCACUUAUUCGUCCACAAUUUUAUAGGAUUUUUCAUUGUAUA
rnacentral:lncRNA from 1 species